GACGAACGCUGGCGGCGUGCUUAACACAUGCAAGUCGAACGGGAGUAUCGAAGAAGCUUGCUUUAGAGAUACUUUAGUGGCGGACGGGUGAGUAACGCGUGAGGAGCUGUCCAAUGCAGGGGGACAACAGUUGGAAACGACUGCUAAUACCCCAUAAGCCGAGAGGUAAAAGGAUUUAUCCGGCAAUGGAGGUACUCGCGUCCUAUCAGCUAGUAGGUGAGGUAACGGCUCACCUAGGCGAAGACGGGUAGCCGGCCUGAGAGGGCGAACGGCCACACUGGAACUGAGAUACGGUCCAGACUCCUACGGGAGGCAGCAGUGGGGAAUAUUGGGCAAUGGGGGGAACCCUGACCCAGCGACGCCGCGUGGGUGAAGAAAUCCUUCGGGAUGUAAAGCCCUGUUGUAUGGGAAGAGCGGAAGACGGUACCAUACGAGGAAGCCCCGGCAAACUACGUG
rnacentral:rRNA from 1 species